rnacentral:rRNA from 1 species
GCUUACGGCCACACCGCCUGGUUCACGGCCCGAUCUCGCUUUGAUCUCGGAAGCUAAGAUAGGGUGGGCCUGGUUAGUACUUGGAUGGGAGACCGCCUGGGAAUACCAGGUGUGUAAAGA